rnacentral:rRNA from 1 species
UGUUUCGGCUAGGGGGCCAUCCCGGCUUACCAACCCGAUGCAAACUACGAAUACCGAAGAAUGUUAUCACGGGAGACACACGGCGGGUGCUAACGUCCGUCGUGAAGAGGGAAACAACCCAGACCGCCAGCUAAGGUCCCAAAGUCAUGGUUAAGUGGGAAACGAUGUGGGAAGGCACAGACAGCCAGGAUGUUGGCUUAGAAGCAGCCAUCAUUUAAAGAAAGCGUAAUAGCUCACUGGUCGAGUCGGCCUGCGCGGAAGAUGUAACGGGGCUAAACCAUGCACCGAAGCUGCGGCAGCGACGCGUAUGCGUUGUUGGGUAGGGGAGCGUUCUGUAAGCCGUUGAAGGUGUGCUGUGAGGCAUGCUGGAGGUAUCAGAAGUGCGAAUGCUGACAUAAGUAACGAUAAAGCGGGUGAAAAGCCCGCUCGCCGGAAGACCAAGGGUUCCUGUCCAACGUUAAUCGGGGCAGGGUGAGUCGACCCCUAAGGCGAGGCCGAAAGGCGUAGUCGAUGGGAAACAGGUUAAUAUUCCUGUACUUGGUGUUACUGCGAAGGGGGGACGGAGAAGGCUAUGUUAGCCGGGCGACGGUUGUCCCGGUUUAAGCAUGUAGGCGGAGGUUCCAGGUAAAUCCGGUACCUUUUAACGCUGAGGUGUGAUGACGAGGCACUACGGUGCUGAAGUAACAAAUGCCCUGCUUCCAGGAAAAGCCUCUAAGCAUCAGGUAACACGAAAUCGUACCCCAAACCGACACAGGUGGUCAGGUAGAGAAUACCAAGGCGCUUGAGAGAACUCGGGUGAAGGAACUAGGCAAAAUGGUGCCGUAACUUCGGGAGAAGGCACGCUGAUAUGUAGGUGAAGCCCCUGCGGGUGGAGCUGAAAUCAGUCGAAGAUACCAGCUGGCUGCAACUGUUUAUUAAAAACACAGCACUGUGCAAACACGAAAGUGGACGUAUACGGUGUGACGCCUGCCCGGUGCCGGAAGGUUAAUUGAUGGGGUUAGCGGCAACGCGAAGCUCUUGAUCGAAGCCCCGGUAAACGGCGGCCGUAACUAUAACGGUCCUAAGGUAGCGAAAUUCCUUGUCGGGUAAGUUCCGACCUGCACGAAUGGCGUAAUGAUGGCCAGGCUGUCUCCACCCGAGACUCAGUGAAAUUGAACUCGCUGUGAAGAUGCAGUGUACCCGCGGCAAGACGGAAAGACCCCGUGAACCUUUACUAUAGCUUGACACUGAACACUGGUCCUUGAUGUGUAGGAUAGGUGGGAGGCUUUGAAGCGUGGACGCCAGUCUGCGUGGAGCCGUCCUUGAAAUACCACCCUUUAAUGGCUGGUGUUCUAACGUAGACCCGUUACCCGGGUUGCGGACAGUGUCUGGUGGGUAGUUUGACUGGGGCGGUCUCCUCCCAAAGAGUAACGGAGGAGCACGAAGGUUAGCUAAUCCUGGUCGGACAUCAGGAGGUUAGUGCAAUGGCAUAAGCUAGCUUGACUGCGAGAGUGACGGCUCGAGCAGGUGCGAAAGCAGGUCAUAGUGAUCCGGUGGUUCUGAAUGGAAGGGCCAUCGCUCAACGGAUAAAAGGUACUCCGGGGAUAACAGGCUGAUACCGCCCAAGAGUUCAUAUCGACGGCGGUGUUUGGCACCUCGAUGUCGGCUCAUCACAUCCUGGGGCUGAAGUAGGUCCCAAGGGUAUGGCUGUUCGCCAUUUAAAGUGGUACGCGAGCUGGGUUUAGAACGUCGUGAGACAGUUCGGUCCCUAUCUGCCGUGGGCGCUGGAGAAUUGAGGGGGGCUGCUCCUAGUACGAGAGGACCGGAGUGGACGCAUCACUGGUGUUCGGGUUGUCAUGCCAAUGGCACUGCCCGGUAGCUAAAUGCGGAAAAGAUAAGUGCUGAAAGCAUCUAAGCACGAAACUUGCCCCGAGAUGAGUUCUCCCUGACCCUUUAAGGGUCCUGAAGGAACGUUGAAGACGACGACGUUGAUAGGUCGGGUGUGUAAGCGCAGCGAUGCGUUGAGCUAACCGAUACUAAUGAACCGUGAGGCUUAAC